ACCCUAUGAAUUUAUUAAAUUUAUGUUAAUGAGAAUUUCCUAUUAAAUAAAUUUUGGCUGGGGCGGCAAGAAAAUAUCAAAAACUUUUCAGAUAAUAAAAUGAUCCAUUAGUAAUGAUUACAUGUUAAAUA
rnacentral:rRNA from 1 species